rnacentral:rRNA from 1 species
AGAGUUUGAUCCUGGCUCAGAAUCAACGCUGGCGGCGCGCUUAACACAUGCAAGUCGAGCGAGAAAGUGGAGCAAUCCAUGAGUACAGCGGCGUACGGGUGAGUAACACGUGGGUAAUCUGCCUCUUAGUGGGGAAUAACCCUGGGAAACCGGGGCUAAUACCGCAUAAUCCUGUGAAGGGAAAGCAGCAAUGCGCUGAGAGAGGAGCCCGCGGCCGAUUAGCUAGUUGGUGAGGUAACGGCCCACCAAGGCGACGAUCGGUAGCCGGCCUGAGAGGGCACACGGCCACACUGGCACUGAAACACGGGCCAGACUCCUACGGGAGGCAGCAGUGGGGAAUCUUGCACAAUGGAGGCAACUCUGAUGCAGCGACGCCGCGUGAGCGAUGAAGCCCUUCGGGGUGUAAAGCUCUUUCGGCAGGGACGAUAAUGACGGUACCUGAAGAAGAAGCUGCGGCUAACUACGUGCCAGCAGCCGCGGUAAUACGUAGGCAGCGAGCGUUGUUCGGAAUUACUGGGCGUAAAGAGUGUGUAGGCGGUGCUCUAAGUUCGGUGUGAAAUCUCCUGGCUUAACUGGGAGGGUGCGCCGGAAACUGGAGUGCUCGAGCGUGGGAGGGGAAAGCGGAAUUCCUGGUGUAGCGGUGAAAUGCGUAGAUAUCAGGAGGANNCCUGCGGUGUAGACGGCUUUCUGGACCAUUGCUGACGCUGAGACACGAAAGCGUGGGUAGCAAACAGGAUUAGAUACCCCCGUAGUCC